GCGGUCUCUGCGGGCCUCCGAGCGCGCAGUCGCAGUCGACCUUUCCGGCCGGCCCGGCCCCGGGCGCGGCUGCUGAGGGACGGCAGGGGGCGCAGCCGCGCGCCGACUUUCUGGCCCCCCUCCCUGCUAGGGGAGUCAGUGAGGAAGCCUCGGGCAUGAAGACGGUGCGCUUUGGGUUCUCCCCAAAACAACUUGCGAGAUAAGGAAGAACACGUGGGGCGUGGACCCCUAAUCUGGCUAUGCAGUCGCUCGUGCAUGGGGAACGUUUCAAGACUUCUGCUCUGGCUCAGAUACAACAAGUGGUGUCUGUGGCGUUCAUCCAGUGAGACAGCCCGGUACCCGGGGCCGUGCAGGUGUGCCCGGGCAGGGCUGCCUACCUGAGGAGACAGGUAGAGGCCGUGGUUUCCAGGGAUCUCUCAGCUAGCACGUGGCGGAGCUGAGGUCUGAACCCGGGCAGCAGGAAGUCCAGCAGCUGCGCUUGGAGGUUGCUGCAGAGCCUUGG